rnacentral:misc_RNA from 1 species
GAUGAAGAACGCAGCGAAAUGCGAUAAGUAAUGUGAAUUGCAGAAUUCAGUGAAUCAUCGAAUCUUUGAACGCACCUUGCGCUCUUUGGUAUUCCGAAGAGCAUGCCUGUUUGAAUGUCAUGAAAAUAUCAACCUUGACUUGGGUUUUGUGCUCUAGUCUCGGCUUGGAAUUGGGUGCUUGCCGCUUUUACGAGCGGCUCACCUUAAAUGUAUUAGCUGGAUCUGUCUUUGAGACUUGGUUUGACUUGGCGUAAUAAGUAUUUCGCUAAGGACAUUCUUCGGAGUGGCCUCGUUUCUAGGACGCUUGUCCGCUUUCCAAUACAAGUUCCACCUCGUGGACAUGACUUUUUAUUAUCUGGCCUCAAAUCAGGUAGGACUACCCGCUGAACUUAAGCAUAUCAAUAAGCGGAGGA